UCUGGUUAUUGCGAUGGAGGGACGGAGAAGGCUAGGCCAGCUUGGCGUUGGUUGUCCAAGUUUAAGGUGGUAGGCUGAGAUCUUAGGUAAAUCCGGGAUCUUAAGGCCGAGAGCUGAUGACGAGUUACCUUUUAGGUAACGAAGUGGUUGAUGCCAUGCUUCCAAGAAAAGCUUCUAAGCUUCAGGUAACCAGGAACCGUACCCCAAACCGACACAGGUGGUUGGGUAGAGAAUACCAAGGCGCUUGAGAGAACUCGGGUGAA
rnacentral:rRNA from 1 species